rnacentral:sRNA from 1 species
AAAGAAAGAGAAGAAGAAAAAAA